UUCCCAGGUUGGACUCGAUGAUCUUACAGGUCUUUUCCAACCGUACUGAUUCUGUGAUUCUGUGACAGCGGGGCCGGGGAGCCGGGACAGCGGGGGGAGGCGGAUUUUCGGGUCGGACCCUGCGGCGGGCUGCGAUAAACGUUCAAACCCAGGCGCGGUAACGCUCCUGCACUGGGGCAGCUUCCAAGUUUCUACACGAAGAGGCGGCACAUGAGACAGUAUUGGUAACGGUCACAACUCAGGACUUCAGGAAAAGCACAGAUUUAGUCGGGAACCUAUAAUCCAAGGCAGCAAACCCCAUACUUGAGUCAAAACAUUUUAUCUAAGUUUCAAACCAGAACAAUUCUUAAAUUACUGGCUACAAGAUCAAAAAUCAUCUGAACACCAUCUUUUUAUCAGCCAGUUUAAAAGAGUGUUUAUCAUCAUGUGAAACGACAUUGCGAACACCCAGAAGACAGGGAAAUGAAACAGCUUUACAGAAAACAAAGAACUGUUGACAGUCGGCACUGGCAGGUUCUUCAGCGUCCGUAACAAAGACAAAACGUGGAGGUGGUGUUUUAGAAUAAGAACUGUCGGUUGCUGUGAUGGAUAGCGCCCUGGCAGCACCCAAGUUCAUGGACGCAGGACUGGCACGUUGGAUCCUCAGCCGUUUCCUCGCGAGGCGGCGGGAGGCUGGGCGCAGCAGCAGCGGGUGCGCAAUCCAUUUUCACAGUGUGUCAGACCUUAAACUUUGCCUUACGCCCCUCUUUCUGGGGACUGGAAUUACAGAAUUGCAUUUUGGAGCUGUGGUAUUUGCCUCUUAAGGAUUUUGGGAAACAAGUUACACUCACAAGUGCAGGUGAUGACAACUUUCCUGCAUGGUACAUCCCUGUAACGAUGCAGCUGUGCCACACCGAAGGGGAGAGCUGAUCUCUACCUCUCCUCCCCGCACCCUGCAGCACCCGCCCUUCGCUCCACCCUCUCCCCUGGGACCUGUCGCGUUUCACAAUGAUUUUGCUCAGGAAUUUAAACCAGGACAAACCCUACAGAUUCCCAAGGAAGAGACUGGGUUGCUUCUUUCUUCUUGUCUUUUUAAAAAGUUUUUUUUUUUAUGUUAAAGAUGUUUAAGUCUACAAUAAUUCUAAUAU